rnacentral:rRNA from 1 species
UGGGGAUGACGUCAAGUCAUCAUGGCCCUUACGGCCUGGGCUACACACGUGCUACAAUGGUCGGUACAAAGGGUUGCCAAGCCGCGAGGUGGAGACUAAUACCCAUAAACCGAUCGUAGUCCGGAUCGCAGUCUGCAACUCGACUGCGUGAAGUCGGAAUCGCUAGUAAUCGUGAAUCAGAAUGUCACGGUGAAUACGUUCCCGGGCCUU